UCUCAAACUAAAGGGACUCCUGGGUGGCUGUUGGCUGAAAUUUUCCAUUUGUCCUCCUGUUUGUUCCCUUUCUUUCUCAAAGACUUUCUGUUUGGGCUCCCUUGCCCCGAGACAUGAGACACAGCACCCUCCUGGCCGGAAGUGAGUGUUAUGUCACCCGGACACACCCCUCAGUUUUUGUGGCUGUGACUCAGCCGUCACCGUGCCCAGCACUCAGCCAGCCCCGAGUUCACCCUCCCUUGGCACCUGUCCGCAGCCUGGCUCCACCCGGCCGGCCGCUCCUCCCCGAAGCAGGUGGGUGGGACCUGGAAACUGCCUGCCCAGGGGCCGGCCCGUGGGAACGGAGGCGGGACCCAGCCACAAAGACCGGGGUCAUCGCCGUGGAGGAGAGCCGGAGAGCAACCCCCUGGAAGGUGGGGAUGACUGUCACCCUCACGUCACCACACACACUGAGCAAACAAGGAAGCGGACGCUGAGAGGCAAAGGAGCUGAGAGCCCCCGGCAAGCGGCAAGCGAGGGGACCGGGAUUCUCCCAAGGACUCGGACUCCACAGCCAGGUUUGGAAGUUGGGGCUGCUGAGCACCAGCUACAUACUGGACACCCUUGGGGGCACCGGGGAGGCUGCGGUGCGAGAGGAGCCCCUGACCUCUCAGGGCAGACCUGUGAUGAGGGGACCCCUCCCCAAUUCAGCCAGGGAGCAGAGAAUCCACUCUUGGGACCCUGGAGUGUGGCCCAUCCUCUCCCUGCUGGCCAGGACCCAGGCACAUGCUGGCACAUGCACGCUGCUGGCCGCCCUCUCCCUGUCCUGAAAUGGCUCUUUCCUCUUUUCCAGAAGCACCAGAUCAAAAUUCUAGAUUUUGCUGAGGGGAUUCCUAGAGGCUCAGAGGGAGAAAGGCCCUCCCUGCAAGCCGCCUGCUCCAGCCUUCUCCGUGCUGCCUCCUCUCCACCACACCCUGGGGAGUUGGACUCUCCCUGGGACAGGAGGCUCACUACCUCAUAAGAUGAGACUAUUCCAGAAUAGGCAAUGCUAACAGAAAAGCCCUCCCUGAGUGAAACUACCUUCUACCUCCUCACUCCUUCUGCCCUCUGAGACAACCCCCACGACAUAUCCCAUUACCUGUGACCCCUCUUCACCUCACAGCCCUUCGAAUACUUGUGUUAUCCUUCCAUCUUCUCUUCUUAGGAGUACAGUUCCUCAGAUUCUAAACCAUUCCUCAGACACUGUCUGGUCUUGUUCUGGCCUGUCGGCCCCAACACCUGCCACUCUCACACCGUCCAAAACUGCUUCACUAAGUGACCACUGAAGACAUGCAGAUCAGAAUGUCACCCUGAUCUCACGUUCUGCCUCAUGACAGCCUGGGGAUGGAUGGCAAAGGCCCGGGCAGGAGGAGCUGUAUGGGUGGAGGGUGAGGACAGUCACAAGUGAGCAGACCCCUGAGUGUCCUCCGGCCAGUCAUCCAAUUGUCAUUCAUUCAGUUCCUGCUAUUGCCAAGCCAAUGCCAACUGGAGGCUGGGGUGGCAACCAGCACUUUGAGGCAGACGGAAGGCUCAUCAGGAAAGGAUCGUCAGGAAAGCUUCUCUAAGAGGAGAGGGUCAGGCUGCUCCAAAUGGAGAAAGGAGAGACCAGUGUAGAAAGAGCUAUCAGUAAGGGCUUCACGGAAGAGUCAGUGAAACCUUUCACCAUGGAAUUAACGAUAAGUCAUCAUCUCUUACCAGCAGCGACAAAUGCAUUCCUUUCGUGUGGUUUGUCUCAAGAAGACCCACGCGUGUCCUGUAAGCCCGGGAAAAGAUGCUCCACAUCACUGGUCAUCAGGGAAAUGCAAAUCAGAGUCAGAGGGGGAUGCCACUUCACAUCCCCAAGGACACUGCCGGUGGGAAUGCAAAACAGCACAAACAGGCUUUGCAAAAUGGCUUAUUCACCUGUGAUCUAGGGAUUCUGCUAGAUACCCACCCGUGAGAAACAAAAACAUUGGUGCAUGCAAAGAGUGUGUGCAAAUACCCAGAACAACGUUACUUGCACAGCUAAGGAGCCAGAACGAUUCACAAGCCCUCAGCUGCGUGUUGGGUGAACACCACAUGCUCUCUGCCCCCGCACGCUGGGAUACCAUUCAGUGGGGAAAAGGCACAAGAGGCUAGCAUGUGCUCUGACCUCAAAAACAUGAUGCUAAGUGAAAGAAGCUAGACACGAAGACACACAGAGGGUAGAACUUACACAAAAAGUCCAAAAGAGACCCAUUUGUAGAAACAGAAAGUAGGUGAGCAGUUGUCCGUGGUCGGGAGUAGGAAUGGGGAGUUACUGCAAGCAGGCACAGGGGACUGGGGUGGGGCGGAGAUGUUCUAAAAUUGGCCUGUGGUGACGGUUGCACAACUCUGUACAUUUGCCAAAAAAUCACUGAAUUGUACACUGAAAAGGAGUGUUGAUGGUGUGUACAUCACAUCCUGACACAACAGUUCAAGGAAGUGUUUCUCCUCCAGCCCCCACCGGAUUUUAUGCUCUACAAUGGCAGGGACGGGCCCAUCUUUCUUAGCAAAAGGUACGCCAGCACCUGGAGCAGCUAGGUACACGGUGAGGACCCAGUAAAUCUGGCAGAAUGAAUGAACGAAGCCAUUAAAAUGAUCAUCUUUAGUUGGGCGUAUGGCCGCUUGGAAGCUCCCUGCCUUUCUUCUCCCCCUCAUCUCCCUACAGGAAAGACUCAGCUACGCGGCUCAUCCAUGUCCUCUCUGCCGUGCUGCGACCGUGCACUCCCAGGUUGUGAAGGCCCAGGCAGCUCCGUGACCCCAGGCAGCGUUCACUCCUGGUCUGGCAGAGAUGCCGCACCCUGCCUGCUCCUGUGGGCUAGCCUGGGACGGCUGACCUUUGCCUUCAGGCCACCUGCUGGGGGCAGCCAUCCUGUCUCUAUGCUGAUGGCCCUCAGUUCUGUGUCACAGUCCAACCUCAGCCCCUCAGCUACCAAUGGGACAGCCCACUGGCAUGUCCCCAAGACUCAAGUUUGAUGUCUCUAAAACAGAAGGUCCUCCUUGCCCUGAGCCCUGCUCCCCUACAGAGCCCCUGACAUGAAGGAACCUUCCAGAAACACAGGCACCCUCCCUGACACCUCUCUCCCACUUCCUCACUCAUUCCUCCCCUCCCCACACCAAGUCCGGCCGAUGCUACUUCUAAGCAUCUCUUUUCUCCCCAGGUACCGCCUUGCACCAUCUAGAUGACAGUUCUCUGAGCUGCUCUCCUUGCUGGGACCAGAACAACCUUCUUGGAGAGAACUGUGACACGGAAGCAGUGUUUUCUCACGGCCACAACACACACGGACCGUGACGGACAGCUGACCCUGAACAAUGCGGGGGUUGGGGGAGCCGACACCCCCCUUCUGCCGGGCAGUGAAAAUUCACCUACACCUUUUGACUCUCCAAAAACUUAACUACUAAGAGCCUACCAUUGACGGGGAGUCUUACCACUAACAAAAACAAGCUGAUGAAUAAAUCCUAUACAUUCUGUGUAUUAUACACU